CAUGGCUCAGAACGAACGCUGGCGGCAGGCUUAACACAUGCAAGUCGAGCGCCCCGCAAGGGGAGCGGCAGACGGGUGAGUAACGCGUGGGAACGUACCUUUUGCUACGGAAUAACUCAGGGAAACUUGUGCUAAUACCGUAUGUGCCCUUCGGGGGAAAGAUUUAUCGGCAAAGGAUCGGCCCGCGUUGGAUUAGCUAGUUGGUGAGGUAAAGGCUCACCAAGGCGACGAUCCAUAGCUGGUCUGAGAGGAUGAUCAGCCACACUGGGACUGAGACACGGCCCAGACUCCUACGG
rnacentral:rRNA from 1 species